rnacentral:rRNA from 1 species
GACGAACGCUGGCGGCGUGCUUAACACAUGCAAGUCGAACGGAAAGGCCCUGCUUUUGUGGGGUGCUCGAGUGGCGAACGGGUGAGUAACACGUGAGUAACCUGCCCUUGACUUUGGGAUAACUUCAGGAAACUGGGGCUAAUACCGGAUAGGAGCUCCUGCUGCAUGGUGGGGGUUGGAAAGUUUCGGCGGUUGGGGAUGGACUCGCGGCUUAUCAGCUUGUUGGUGGGGUAGUGGCUUACCAAGGCUUUGACGGGUAGCCGGCCUGGGAGGGUGACCGGCCACAUUGGGCCUGCGAUACGGCCCAGACUCCUACGGGAGGCAGCAGUCGGGAAUAUUGCACAAUGGGCGGAAGCCUGAUGCAGCAACGCCGCGUGCGGGAUGACGGCCUUCGGGUUGUAAACCGCUUUCGCCUGUGACGAAGCGUGAGUGACGGUAAUGGGUAAAGAAGCACCGGCUAACUACGUG